AAAUCCCUUAUCUCGACAGGUUCUCUUUCAUUUCCAGGUGGCCUGUUCCAGAGCUUGGAACCUGUGUUUGUUCUCCCCCAAGCUCCCAUCCCUGCGGGCUUCUUCCCUGGGAAGGUGGCCUGGGACCAGGCCAAGGAUCUAUGGAAAAUUGCAGCUAAGCUUGCAUAAGUAAACCUUGGAAGAGGGGAGGCUAAGGAAUGCCCAGAAUGGAAGGAUGCUGUGGCCUGCCCUGAGCUUUCCAGCCUGCCGAGCUAUGAGCCUUCAAGAAGAAAUUCUGUGUGAAAUCAGAAAAUCUCACAAAAGUAUGAGCGGAUUGGAAAUCUGACUUAUCGGAAGAUGUUGUUUUAAUUUGGGAUAUGCUCAAUUUGAGAGGGAAGCAGUCCAUACAGGGAAGAAACUGAAGAUUAGCAUGUUCAACAGCCAUUCACUCUCCCUUCCAGGGGUCCUCUAUCACAAGGUAUAGAAAGAUAACCAAACAUACCUGUUUCUCU
ensembl:lncRNA